GUAGGGAAUCUUGCGCAAUGGGCGAAAGCCUGACGCAGCCAUGCCGCGUGAAUGAUGAAGGUCUUAGGAUUGUAAAAUUCUUUCACCGGGGACGAUAAUGACGGUACCCGGAGAAGAAGCCCCGGCUAACUUCGUGCCAGCAGCAGCGGUAAUACGAAGGGGGCUAGCGUUGCUCGGAAUUACUGGGCGUAAAGGGCGCGUAGGCGGACAGUUAAGUUGGGGGUGAAAGCCCGGGGCUCAACCUCGGAACUGCCUUCAAUACUGGCUGUCUUGAGUAUGAGAGAGGUGUGUGGAACUCCGAGUGUAGAGGUGAAAUUCGUAGAUAUUCGGAAGAACACCAGUGGCGAAGGCGACACACUGGCUCAUUACUGACGCUGAGGCGCGAAAGCGUGGGGAGCAAACAGGAUUAGAUACCCGAGUAGUCC
rnacentral:rRNA from 1 species